rnacentral:lncRNA from 1 species
AUUUUUUAGAGACAAAAAUAUAUAUUUGUCUUGUUCAUUCUAUAGUUUAUUAAUUUUUUCCUUGUUUAGACAGUUACAAAGGAUGGUGUUCCACUAUUUUUCUAUUAGUACUAAAAGUGUUCCACUGCUACAAAAAGAAUGAGAACCACUGGACUACACUCAGGAAACAUAAAAGUAUAUUGAAGAGGAUGUUAAUAUGUUCCAAAAUCCUGACCAGUCCAUAGCAUUUCUUGUUAUUAUUUUUGUGUGCAGGGUACCUGUUUUCCUAUCAUCAUCAUUAGCAUUUAUUAUUACAUCCACUAAUGGAUAUAUAUCCCUCCUUUUGUUUCCAGAUGUAUCCAUCUUGUGCAAUCUGCAUCCACUGAGAAUCAAUUACUUUUUUAUAUCAUCUCUCUAUCAUUUGUAUUGCCUGCCAGGAUAUCUUUUCCCUUGCUUUGGUUACCACUCUAUAAUUCUCUUUGUC